rnacentral:snRNA from 1 species
AGCUUUGUGCAAUGGCAGUAUUGUAGCCAAUGAGGUUUAUCCGAGGCACGAUUAUUGCUAAUUGAAAACUUUUUCCCAACGCCCCGCUAUGACAACUUGAAUUACAGUCGGCAUUGGCAAUUUUUGACAGUCUCUACAGAGA